UAGCUACAGGCUUAACACAUGCAAGUCGAGGGGCAGCAUGGUCUUAGCUUGCUAAGGCCGAUGGCGACCGGCGCACGGGUGAGUAACACGUAUCCAACCUGCCGUCUACUCUUGGACAGCCUUCUGAAAGGAAGAUUAAUACAAGAUGGCAUCAUGAGUCCGCAUGUUCACAUGAUUAAAGGUAUUCCGGUAGACGAUGGGGAUGCGUUCCAUUAGAUAGUAGGCGGGGUAACGGCCCACCUAGUCUUCGAUGGAUAGGGGUUCUGAGAGGAAGGUCCCCCACAUUGGAACUGAGACACGGUCCAAACUCCUACGGGAGGCAGCAGUGAGGAAUAUUGGUCAAUGGGCGAGAGCCUGAACCAGCCAAGUAGCGUGAAGGAUGACUGCCCUAUGGGUUGUAAACUUCUUUUAUAAAGGAAUAAAGUCGGGUAUGGAUACCCGUUUGCAUGUACUUUAUGAAUAAGGAUCGGCUAACUCCGUGCCAGCAGCCGCGGUAAUACGGAGGAUCCGAGCGUUAUCCGGAUUUAUUGGGUUUAAAGGGAGCGUAGAUGGAUGUUUAAGUCAGUUGUGAAAGUUUGCGGCUCAACCGUAAAAUUGCAGUUGAUACUGGAUAUCUUGAGUGCAGUUGAGGCAGGCGGAAUUCGUGGUGUAGCGGUGAAAUGCUUAGAUAUCACGAAGAACUCCGAUUGCGAAGGCAGCCUGCUAAGCUGCAACUGACAUUGAGGCUCGAAAGUGUGGGUAUCAAACAGGAUUAGAUACCCUGGUAGUCCACACGGUAAACGAUGAAUACUCGCUGUUUGCGAUAUACAGCAAGCGGCCAAGCGAAAGCGUUAAGUAUUCCACCUGGGGAGUACGCCGGCAACGGUGAAACUCAAAGGAAUUGACGGGGGCCCGCACAAGCGGAGGAACAUGUGGUUUAAUUCGAUGAUACGCGAGGAACCUUACCCGGGCUUAAAUUGCAGAUGAAUUACGGUGAAAGCCGUAAGCCGCAAGGCAUCUGUGAAGGUGCUGCAUGGUUGUCGUCAGCUCGUGCCGUGAGGUGUCGGCUUAAGUGCCAUAACGAGCGCAACCCUUGUUGUCAGUUACUAACAGGUUCCGCUGAGGACUCUGACAAGACUGCCAUCGUAAGAUGUGAGGAAGGUGGGGAUGACGUCAAAUCAGCACGGCCCUUACGUCCGGGGCUACACACGUGUUACAAUGGGGGGUACAGAGGGCCGCUACCACGCGAGUGGAUGCCAAUCCCCAAAACCUCUCUCAGUUCGGACUGGAGUCUGCAACCCGACUCCACGAAGCUGGAUUCGCUAGUAAUCGCGCAUCAGCCACGGCGCGGUGAAUACGUUCCCGGGCCUUGUACACACCGCCCGUCAAGCCAUGGGAGCCGGGGGUACCUGAAGUGCGUAACCGCGAGGAGCGCCCUAGGGUAAAACUGGUGACUGGGGCUAAGUCAUAAC
rnacentral:rRNA from 1 species